rnacentral:rRNA from 1 species
CCUACGGGUGGCUGCAGUCGAGGAUCUUCGGCAAUGAGCGCAAGCUUGACCGAGCGACGCCGCGUGAGGGAUGAAGGCCUUCGGGUUGUAAACCUCUGUCGAGGGGGAGGAAAUCUAUCGGGGAACUCCCCGGUAGUUGACCUAUCCCUGGAGGAAGCAUGGGCUAAGUUCGUGCCAGCAGCCGCGGUAAGACGAACCAUGCAAACGUUGUUCGGAAUCACUGGGCUUAAAGGGCGCGUAGGCGGUCGAUCAAGUCUGGAGUGAAAUCUUUCGGCUCAACCGGAAAAGUGCUUUGGAUACUGAUCGGCUGGAAGGGGGUAGGGGUUGCGGGAACAGCCAGUGGAGCGGUGAAAUGCGUUGAUAUUGGCUGGAACGCCGGUGGCGAAAGCGCGCAACUGGACCUCUCUUGACGCUGAGGCGCGAAAGCCAGGGUAGCGAAC